rnacentral:tRNA from 1 species
GCCCCCGUGGCCUAAUUGGAUAAGGCAUCAGACUUCUAAUCUGAGGAUUGUGGGUU